GAAAUGCGAUAAGUAGUGUGAAUUGCAGAAUUUAGCGAAUCAUCGAAUCUUUGAACGCACAUUGCGCCCCUUGGUAUUCCAUGGGGCAUGCCUGUUCGAGCGUCAUUUCAACACUCAAGCACUGCUUGGUGUUGGGCGUUUGUCCCGCCUACGCGCGUGGACUCGCCUCAAAGUCAUUGGCAGCUGUUCCCCUUCGGCUCGUAAGCGCAGCACAGUCGGCGCCCGGAGCUCUGGUGGGAUGGCGUCCAGCAAGCUAUAUUUUCAGGCUUGACCUCGGAUCAGGUAGGGAUACCCGCUGAACUUAAGC
rnacentral:misc_RNA from 1 species